CCAACUGGAUGAACACGUGUUUUCUUCCAGCUUCUCAUCUCUUUGUUGUCCUCCUGCAGGCAUUAAGACCGACCCGUUUUAUGGGAAGACUUGCACCAUUUUAUGUGGAAUUCCUUACGGGCUUUCGGUGGCAUGCCUGCCACCGAGCCAGGCUAUGUGAAGAUGCUUCAUUGAUGUGCGGUGAUGGAGGCUUUGCUUUCCUUUUGCUGGAAAUGCAGUUUUACCAGCUACUGACCAAGCAAGCUGUUUGCACAGCACCGUGGGAUGAUAAGUAUAAUGAAAACGCUGAAGACAUGUGUAUUAAGAUAAGAAAAUGAAGUCAUUAUAGACCUCUGGAGGGAAGCAGAUAAUCAGAGUCUCUAAACCAACCAACAACACAGCCUUCCACACCUGUGGUCCAGAAGCCCUGGGUCGUGGACUGGUACCGGUUGGUACUGGGUUGCAGAGAAGAAAAACAGGACCACAAUUUUUUCUGUUUUAUUUUGUCAUCUGAUUUGGAGGAAGUUUUUACUUUUGAAAAGCAACUUGAUUUCCCCCACCACAUCCGUCUUAUUUACACAAGUCAAGUCGAUCAGUCACGUGUCGAAAAUCCAUCCACUAUGUUCUUAAAAGUGACCACUAAAUUGAAACCCCUAAGCUGUGUUGAAUUUUUCGUUUCACAGAAAAGAUCCAGUGAGGAAAAAGAAGAAGAGUCUUUGACUUCAAAA